rnacentral:rRNA from 1 species
CACGCCGUAAACGAUGAGUGCUAGGUGUUAGGCCCUUUCCGGGGCUUAGUGCCGCAGCUAACGCAUUAAGCACUCCGCCUGGGGAGUACGACCGCAAGGUUGAAACUCAAAGGAAUUGACGGGGGCCCGCACAAGCGGUGGAGCAUGUGGUUUAAUUCGAAGCAACGCGAAGAACCUUACCAGGGCUUGACAUCCUCGGACGACACUAGAGAUAGUGUUUUCUCUUCGGAGACUGAGAGACAGGUGG